CUCUCUCUCUCUCUCUCUCGCUUUUUGGUCAUUUUUGUACUGUAUAUGUCAUCCAUGGAAGAUCAUGAGUGGUAGUGAAACAUGUUGCAUCAUAGCAUGCUCCUGAUGCAAGGAUAAAAAUUCAUAUAUUUAAAUGUAUGCAUGUGUGUGUGUGUGUGUCUAUGUCUUUAUGUGUAUAUAUGUAUCUAUGCUUGUGUUUUUUGUAUGUUUAUUAAAGUUCAUAAAAUUGUAUUGAGCAGGUUCAUGUUUUUUAAUUGACAUUGCAUUUGACUUUUUAUGACCACAAAUGCAUCAUAGAUUCCUAGUACUCCCUCUGUCUCGAAAAGGUUGUCACUUUCAUUUUCUCACACAUUUUUAGAAAAAAUAAUUUAUACUAUGCCAACUCACAUUGUCAUUUUCCCUUUUACGGUUUCACUCAUUAUUUCCUAGAAAAAUUAUCAUCUCUCUCUUUCCUGGAUUUGUUUGCUUGAAAAUAUACAAAGUGCAAUUAAUAUCACAUUUUGCUAUGUAGUUAAUGAGGGGUUGAAUAGGAAACUCCUUUUUAUGUGAAAUAGGGGCCAUCCUGCAAAGGAAUAGUGGGCAAGCUUUGUAGGACGGAGGGAGUCGUAAAAUUGGUCUACCCGUGUAGUUUAUUUACUUCCUUAUAGUCAAGGGAAAUGAAAGGGUUACUCUUUACUUCCAUGAGUUUGAUUCCUGAACUCAAAUGGUUCUUUCUAUCCAGCUAAAUUUUAAUAUAAAAGCGCCAACCGCUUGGUGCUAAAUCACCUCAAAAAAGGGUAUUGAC
rnacentral:misc_RNA from 1 species